AAAUGGGCGGAAGAUUCAGUGUGAUGAUCAAAGCCGAAGAAUGGAGGGAAAAGCUAACUGACAAACAUACUUCACCUCCAAACAAGACAGUUACUGCGGUUUUUAGUGGACCAGAUCCUGGUUACUUAACCACAGCUAUUUUGGUUGUAAACCCAGCUUUAGUGGUGCUUCAAGAAAAG